CUCUACUUGGGGAUGAGAAGAAUUCCAUGCAUUAGGUUGUCAUCGAACACCUGGGCCCAUCUCACAAAAUAAUAAUGAAAUACAAAAGCCUGUGGAAAGCAUCCCAAUGACAAUACCGUUGGAAACAAACUCACGCCUUACUUUUUAAGGUUAAAAAUAAGCCAUCCCAAUGCACAAGUGUCUUUAUGGCUACAGACUGGAAUAUAAUUGUUAAUGGCCUGGCACUAUCAAGCAUAACUGACAGCAGGCAGAAGGGAGACAGGAAGGGGAGAUGCAGGCAGGGGCGGGGGUGGUAUCUUUUCAUGACAGCUCAGUCAUCCAGGUUCUUUUCUGAAGCCACAGCAUAAGAAAUAGAUGUGAAAGUAAGUCACAUGCACAUUACAACAUUCUGGUGGACCACCGACAGCAGACAUGGUGUGAUCCCCGCAGAUUGUAUCACGUAGUGUGUGGCGACCAUCUCAGCUUGUUUAAGUUCACUCUGUGAAGUCUGCACAAUGAAAUCCCGCAGUGAUGUAUUUCUUAUAUGAGUCUCCUUUGUUAAGCAACACCAGACUGGAUUUUACUUAGAAGUGUAAGUGAAGGCACGAAAUAGUUUAAAGGUGAUAAUAUACCUACUACAUUUGGAUGCAGGAGGGGAAGGAGGUUGGAUCACAUCUUAGUCUCUUUGGGCCACUACAACAAACAAAACAAACGAAAAGCCUGAAGAGACCUUAACCACAGGUGUUGCCAGGCCCCGGUGGCACACACCUGUAAUCCCAGCACUCAGAGACUGAGGCAGAAGGAUUGCGAGUUCAAAGCCAGCCUCAGCAAAUUAGUGAGGCCCUAAGCAACUCAGUGAGACCCUGUCUCUAAAUAUAAUUCCAAAAAGGGCUGGGGAUGUGGCUCAGUGGUUAAGCCCCCCUUGGUCCAAUUCCCACCACCAAAAAAAAAAAAAAAAAAGUACUACAGCUCUGGAGUCAAGAAGUGCCUCUCAUCCCUUGAAAUCUGGGGAUGGAAACACCAUUUGACCCAGCUAUCCCUCUCCUCGGUCUAUAUCUAAAGGACUUAAAAACAGCAUACUACAGGGACACAGCCACACCAAUGUUUAUAGCAGCACAGUUCACAAUAGCUAAACUGUGGAGCCAACCUACAUGUCCUUCAGUGGAUGAAUGGAUAAAGAAACUGUGGUAUACAUACCAAUGGAAUGUUAUUGAGCAUUAAAAGAGAAUAAAAUCAUGGCAUUUGGAGGUAAAUGGAUGGAGUUGGGGAAUAUAAUGUUAAGUGAAGUUAGCCAAUCCCCAAAACCCAAAUGCCAUAUAUUUUUCUCUGAUAUAAGGAGGCUGAUUCAUAGUGGGGUUGGGA
rnacentral:lncRNA from 1 species